rnacentral:rRNA from 1 species
AGUGAACGCUGGCGGUAGGCCUAACACAUGCAAGUCGAACGGCAGCACAGGAGAGCUUGCUCUCUGGGUGGCGAGUGGCGGACGGGUGAGGAAUACAUCGGAAUCUGCUCUGUCGUGGGGGAUAACGUAGGGAAACUUACGCUAAUACCGCAUACGACCUACGGGUGAAAGCAGGGGACCUUCGGGCCUUGCCCGAUGGAAUGAGCCGAUGUCGGGUUAGCUAGUUGGCGGGGUAAAGGCCCACCAAGGCGACGAUCCGUAGCUGGUCUGAGGGGAUGAUCAGCCACACUGGAACUGAGACACGGUCCAGACUCCUACGGGAGGCAGCAGUGGGGAAUAUUGGACAAUGGGCGCAAGCCUGAUCCAGCCAUACCGCGUGGGUGAAGAAGGCCUUCGGGUUGUAAAGCCCUUUUGUUGGGAAAGAAAUCCAGCUGGCUAAUACCCGGUUGGGAUGACGGUACCCAAAGAAUAAGCACCGGCUAACUUCGUGCCAGCCGCCGCGGUAA